rnacentral:rRNA from 1 species
GACGAACGCUGGCGGCGUGCCUAAUACAUGCAAGUAGGACGCAGUUGCGAACGGGUGAGUAACGCGUAGGUAACUACCUAUUAGAGGGGGAUAACUAUUGGAAACGAUAGCUAAUACCGCAUACUAGUAGAUGGACCUGCGUUGGAUUAGCUAGUAGGGAGGGUAAAGGCCUACCUAGGCAACGAUGCAUAACCGAGCCGGGAGGGGGAUCCGCCACCUCGGGACUGAGACCCGGCCCAGACUCCCACGGGAGGCAGCUGUAGGGAAACUUCGGACAUGGGGGGAAACCUGACCGAGCAACGCCGCGGGAUUGAAGAAGGUUUUUGGAUCGUAAAGCUCUGUUGUUAAGGAAGCGGUACUUAAACAGAAAGGGACGGCUAACUACGUGCCAGCAGCCGCGGUAAUUC